rnacentral:rRNA from 1 species
GUUGAUGAUUGGUGCUUGCACCGAGAUUCAACAUGGAACCCGUGGCGGACGGGUGAGUAACACGUGGGUAACCUGCCCUUAACUAGGGGAUAACAUUUGGAAACAGAUGCUAAUACCGCAUAGAUCCAAGAACCGCAUGGUUCUUGGCUGAAAGAUGGCGUAAGCUAUCGCUUUUGGAUGGACCCGCGGCGUAUUAGCUAGUUGGUGAGGUAACGGCUCACCAAGGCGAUGAUACGUAGCCGAACUGAGAGGUUGAUCGGCCACAUUGGGACUGAGACACGGCCCAAACUCCUACGGGAGGCAGCAGUAGGGAAUCUUCCACAAUGGACGCAAGUCUGAUGGAGCAACGCCGCGUGAGUGAAGAAGGCUUUCGGGUCGUAAAACUCUGUUGUUGGAGAAGAAUGGUCGGCAGAGUAACUGUUGCCGGCGUGACGGUAUCCAACCAGAAAGCCACGGCUAACUACGUGCCAGCAGCCGCGGUAAUACGUAGGUGGCAAGCGUUAUCCGGGUUUAUUGGGCGUAAAGCGAGCGCAGGCGGUUUUUUAAGUCUGAUGUGAAAGCCCUCGGCUUAACCGAGGAAGCGCAUCGGAAACUGGGAAACUUGAGUGCAGAAGAGGACAGUGGAACUCCAUGUGUAGCGGUGAAAUGCGUAGAUAUAUGGAAGAACACCAGUGGCGAAGGCGGCUGUCUGGUCUGUAACUGACGCUGAGGCUCGAAAGCAUGGGUAGCGAACAGGAUUAGAUACCCUGGUAGUCCAUGCCGUAAACGAUGAAUGCUAGGUGUUGGAGGGUUUCCGCCCUUCAGUGCCGCAGCUAACGCAUUAAGCAUUCCGCCUGGGGAGUACGACCGCAAGGUUGAAAC